AGCCAGAGCUGCCUCUGGCAAGGUGUUGUAGCUGGCUUAAGAGGGCAGAUGGAAGCAUCUGCCUCAGGGGCAGGUGAGCGGGCAGAGGUGUCUCGCACAGGCUCAAAGGAGCAAACUGCACUGUGAAGAGCUGCGUGCCAUGGCAGGCUCUCCACAGAAGUGGCUGAGGAUUUGAGGUAAGGCCGGAGAGCGGCAAGGAGCGGCACGUGCAGUUAUGGCUUCCAAGCGCUGCGGUUGCUCUGUUCUGAUUAUCAGGUGCCACAGGCAAGGUGAAGAGGUGCCUGAAGCCCC